CAGUUAAGUUCCACUGGUGCUAUUCUACCCUUCAUGAGUGAGCACUGCUGGGCUGUGAGCUGGCAAGCUCAUGCCCUUUUUUUGGAGGCUUGAGCCAACUGCUUUUGAUCUGGGAGUUUACAGAAUGGCUGAAUGAAAAGUGUGAGCCUGUUGAAGAACAGCAACUGAAAGAAAUAUUGAUGACUGCCAGGGCAUCUACAGAAAAAGAUAAGAAAAUUACUCUACUACAACAAUGAAAACAAAGGCACUCACAGAGAAGAUAAUUUCUACAUAGGUGGGAAUUCUCUGACUUCACGGGUUCCAGUGGUCUGGGCAAGGGCAGACCCAUAGUGGGCAGGCACUGGGCCUCCUGUCCCACAGCCAUAGGUAUAAUUACCUUUCCCACUCUCUCACAUGGC
rnacentral:lncRNA from 1 species